UGCUGAGAAGGAUGUACAAGGGCAUCUGCAGCCAAAUCCAAGCCUCCUCAGCAACUUCAAGUCUGUCAGCGUGCUGAGGUCACAGAAACAAGAAAAGAAGCUUCAGACUUCAGAGUGUUGUUUACAGUUUUCUGUCAUCAUGAUCUCCCCUGAAGUUUAUCACUAUUAGGCAAGCAAGCAGAGCAGCAGUUUGUGCUCACAGAUGGUGACGGGGUGGAGAGACAGUGGUGUUUCCUCAGAAGAACUAGCAGAGUCACCAAGGACACGAGUCCAUCUCACCACCUUGACUUGUUGAUCAGUGGAUACACUUGUCUCCCCUUUAAAGGAGAUACUCUUAGAGAGAGACGAUCCGAGUCAUCCUUAAAUAUGGGCAGGAUAUCACUAUUGGACUGUCUAACCUGCCGGAGCAGCACUGAAUGACCACCACACAUGAUCAGUUCCUGCAACAUUCAGCAGCUCUGCUUUUGUGUCAAAUGUCCAACAGCUGGAGAGGAAACUACAC